rnacentral:rRNA from 1 species
GCCAGACUCCUACGGGAGGCAGCAGUGAGGAAUAUUGGUCAAUGGGCGAGAGCCUGAACCAGCCAAGUCGCGUGAAGGAUGACGGCCCUACGGGUUGUAAACUUCUUUUGUCAGGGAGCAAUUGGGUCCACGCGUGGGCUUAGCGAGAGUACCUGAAGAAAAAGCAUCGGCUAACUCCGUGCCAGCAGCCGCGGUAAUACGGAGGAUGCGAGCGUUAUCCGGAUUUAUUGGGUUUAAAGGGUGCGUAGGCGGAAUAUCAAGUCAGCGGUAAAAAUUCGGGGCUCAACCCCGUCGUGCCGUUGAAACUGGCUUGCUAGAGUGGGCGAGAAGUAUGCGGAAUGCGUGGUGUAGCGGUGAAAUGCAUAGAUAUCACGCAGAACUCCGAUUGCGAAGGCAGCAUACCGGCGCCCAACUGGCGCUCAGGCACGAAAGCGUGGGUAUCGAACAGGAUUAGAUACCCUUGUAC